AGUGGGUGUAGCGUACCUACUAGCCUACGACGGGUACGGGUUGUGAGAGCAAGAGCCCGGAGAUGGAUUCUGAGACACGAAUCCAGGCCCUACGGGGUGCAGCAGGCGCGAAAACUUUACAAUGCUGGCAACAGCGAUAAGGGAACCUCGAGUGCCAGGUUACAAAUCUGGCUGUCGAGAUGCCUAAAAAGCAUUUCAUAGCAAGGGCCGGGCAAGACCGGUGCCAGCCGCUGCGGUAACACCGGCGGCUCGAGUGGUAACCGUUAUUAUUGGGUCUAAAGGGUCUGUAGCCGGCCGGAUAAGUCUCUUGAGAAAUCUGGCAGCUUAACUGUCAGGCUUUCAGGAGAUACUGUCUGGCUCGAGGCCGGGAGAGGUGAGAGGUACUUCAGGGGUAGGGGUGAAAUCUUGUAAUCCUUGAAGGACCACCAGUGGCGAAGGCGUCUCACCAGAACGGACCUGACGGUGAGUAACGAAAGCCAGGGGCGCGAACCGGAUUAGAU
rnacentral:rRNA from 1 species